UACGAAGGGUCCAAGCGUUAUCCGGAUUUAUUGGGUUUAAAGGGUGCGUAGGCGGCUUAUUAAGUCAGUGGUGAAAGACUUCAGCUUAACUGAAGAACUGCCAUUGAUACUGAUGAGCUUGAGUACAGUUGAGGUGGGCGGAAUGUGUCAUGUAGCGGUGAAAUGCUUAGAUAUGACACAGAACACCGAUUGCGGAGGCAGCUCGCUAAACUGUAACUGACGCUGAGGCACUAAAGCGUGGGGAGCGAACAGG
rnacentral:rRNA from 1 species